CCUACGGGGUGCAGCAGUGGGGAAUAUUGGGCAAUGGAGGAAACUCUGAUGCAGCAACGCCGCGUGAAUGAUGAAGGUCUUCGGAUUGUAAAGUUCUUUUCUCAGGGAAGAAGGAAGUGACGGUACCUUAGGAAUCAGCCUCGGCUAACUGCGUGCCAGCCGCCGCGGUAAUACGUAGGAGGCGAGCGUUUUCCGGAAUGACUGGGCGUAAAGGUGGCGUAGGUGGUUUUGCAAGUUAGUAGCGUAACUCCAAGGCUCAACCUUGGAACUACUACUAAAACUGUUGGACUGGAGUGCAGGAGGGGCAGCCGGAAUUCCUGGGGUAGCGGUGGAAUGCGUAGAUAUUAGGAGGAACACCGGUGGCGAAGGCGGGUUGCUGGACUGAAACUGACGCUGAGGCACGAAAGCGUGGGGAGCAAACAGGAUUAGAUACCCCGGUAGUC
rnacentral:rRNA from 1 species